AAAUUUUAAUGAUCGCGCGCAAUGCGGUCGAUAGAAUCAGUGUUUGUUGCGCAGUAUUUUAACAUUUUUCUGAGUAAAAUAACUCGUGUUAAAUUAAAUUAUUAAUUCAUUUGAAUUAUAAUUCGCGAAGUUAGAGUCAGUGAGUUCGAUUGUUACUUAAACACGCGCGUUGAUAGUCUUUUAUUUUUCUUUUUUCAUAUUUUUUCUUGUUCAAUAUUCGUUUUCGGUAUUAGAGUCAGUGCCCAAGAGGAUAAGGCCUCUCCAGGAAAUCAAGAUCACGCUUUACAGCAUCAACUUUUUGUAUUUUUUGGGGAAAAUCCAAGAUGGCUCUAAAGCCAAGAAUAUCUUCUACAGUCUCCACUUCCCCUAAUCCUCCAAGAAUCUUACGAUGCUUCAAAAGUUAAAAAUAAAUUUUUUGCGGUGUUUACUUCUGCCAUGGGAUUCUCAGUAGUAUCUUGGUGAGAGUCUUCACGAUAACUUUCCUUGCUCCAGCAUCGAUGAUAACGUUCUUCACAUCUAUCCCGUGAGUCGCAUGCAUUUAUGUUCCUCCGGUCACUCAAUCAUGUCGUAGGAUGAAAGGUCCGAAUCGGCACGGGUGACUGGUUGUAUACGUAGAAUUUUUUAUGAGCAUAGUGACCGCG